rnacentral:rRNA from 1 species
GACGAACGCUGGCGGCGUGCUUAACACAUGCAAGUCGAACGGAAAGGCCCUGCUUGCAGGGUGCUCGAGUGGCGGACGGGUGAGUAACACGUGGGUGAUCUGCCCCUUACUUUGGGAUAAGCCUGGGAAACUGGGUCUAAUACUGGAUAGGACCAUGCUGUAGGUGGUGUGGUGGAAAGAUUAGUUUCGGUAAGGGAUGAGCUCGCGGCCUAUCAGCUUGUUGGUGGGGUAAUGGCCUACCAAGGCGUCGACGGGUAGCCGGCCUGAGAGGGUGGACGGCCACAUUGGGACUGAGAUACGGCCCAGACUCCUACGGGAGGCAGCAGUGGGGAAUAUUGCACAAUGGGCGCAAGCCUGAUGCAGCGACGCCGCGUGGGGGAUGACGGCCUUCGGGUUGUAAACUCCUUUCAGCCAUGACGAAGCCCUUGUGGUGACGGUAGUGGUAGAAGAAGCACCGGCUAACUACGUG